UACGGAAGGGGGCUAGCGUUGCUCGGAAUCACUGGGCGUAAAGCGCACGUAGGCGGAUCUUUAAGUCAGGGGUGAAAUCCCAAGGCUCAACCUUGGAACUGCCUUUGAUACUGGGGAUCUCGAGUCCGGAAGAGGUUGGUGGAACUCCGAGUGUAGAGGUGAAAUUCGUAGAUAUUCGGAAGAACACCAGUGGCGUAAGGGCGGCCAACCUGGUCCGGCACUGACGCUGA
rnacentral:rRNA from 1 species